CCUUAUGGUCCAACUAGUAGAUCAUCUACAAUACUGAGCAAUGAUACUGCAAUGAUAGUUGGAAUAGUGGUAUCGGUUACUGUGAUAAUAAUGACAAUACUUGGGAUACUAGUAUUCAUGUAUCGGAGGAAGUAUUCCAAAGAACAGUUAUCAAUGAGUGCAAUUUGAAGUGGAGAUCGUUACACUUUCAAUAAGGACAAUGAAACACCUACCGGUACUUUGGACAUCAAACAGUUAGAACAUGUUGAUAACAUAAAGAAAAGAAUGAAAGCUUAUGAUCAAAUGCAUGUUAUAAGUGCUGUAGACCAGUCCAACACCUCUUAUUAUGAUGAAUCAAUCGAAGCACCAAACGAGAUGUAUGGCAAUACAGUUACUUUGGAAUUCGAAAAGUUAGACAAUGUCGAAAUAGAUGAAGGCACGAAAUUGUAUGUUACACACGCGGUAGACACUGACCAGACGAACUACAAAUCCAAGACCAACAUAUCAACUGAGGCACAUAGAAAUUUUGAACCAACCAAAGCAACUACUAAAAUUGAUAAUAAGUCAGUUACUUAAGUAUACAAACCGUUAGAUAAUGACACAAAAGAUAAAAACCCCGAAUUCAUAUGAUAAAUUGAAUGUUGCACACGAGGUAGAUACUAACCCGACUAACCGCUAUCCAAACACCAUGAUUUCAUCUGAAGAAUAUAAAAGGAAUUAUGAACCAAUCGAUGAAACAACUGAAAGGGAAAAUAAAACAGCUACGACCGAACAUUAACAGUUAGAUAAUCCCGAAGAGUAUAAAUGCAUGGACGUGUAUAAUCAAACACAUGUUGCAUACCUGUUCAGACAAACUAACACCCACAACCCAUAAUUUGAAGAGAAGAACAUACCGAAUAUGAAUUUAAUUUAAUUUAAUGUAUUUAAAAAAUUACAAUAUUAAAUGUAAGUUCCAUUUCAUCACUAUCUUGCUAUGUAGGUAAACUCUUUCAUCUUAAUCUGAAUAUCAAUGAAAAAAAAGUUGGUGCUCUAUAACUUCGUACUUUAUUUGGCCUUCUAAACCUUCCUGAUUCGAGCGUCAAUGAUGGGUCUUCUGUAGACAACACGCUAGUCAGGUUUAUAA